rnacentral:rRNA from 1 species
GAUGAACGCUGGCGGCGUGCCUAAUACAUGCCAGUCGAGCGAACAGAUAAGGAGCUUGCUCCUUUGACGUUAGCGGCGGACGGGUGAGUAACACGUGGGUAACCUACUUAUAAGACUGGAAUAACUCCGGGAAACCGGGGCUAAUGCCGGAUAACAUUUAGAACCGCAUGGUUCUAAAGUGAAAGAUGGUUUUGCUAUCACUUAUAGAUGGACCCGCGCCGUAUUAGCUAGUUGGUAAGGUAACGGCUUACCAAGGCAACGAUACGUAGCCGACCUGAGAGGGUGAUCGGCCACACUGGAACUGAGACACGGUCCAGACUCCUACGGGAGGCAGCAGUAGGGAAUCUUCCGCAAUGGGCGAAAGCCUGACGGAGCAACGCCGCGUGAGUGAUGAAGGUCUUCGGAUCGUAAAACUCUGUUAUUAGGGAAGAACAAAUGUGUAAGUAACUGUGCACGUCUUGACGGUACCUAAUCAGAAAGCCACGGCUAACUACGUG